UCCAGUGACGAUAGCGAAGGGGUCACACCUGUUCCCAUACCGAACACAGAAGUUAAGCCCUUCAGCGCCGAUGGUACUUGGUUGGAAGCGACCUGGGAGAGUAGGACGUCGCUGGUU
rfam:[Eubacterium] angustum strain DSM 1989 ETAN_contig000003, whole genome shotgun sequence.